UACGGGGGGGGCAAGCGUUGUUCGGAAUUACUGGGCGUAAAGGGCUCGUAGGUGGCCAACUAAGUCGGACGUGAAAUCCCCCGGCUUAACCGGGGAACUGCGUCCGAUACUGGUUGGCUUGAGUUUGGGAGAGGGAUGCGGAAUUCCAGGUGUAGCGGUGAAAUGCGUAGAUAUCGGGAAGAACACCUGUGGCGAAGGCGGCUCUCUGGGACGGUACUGACGCUGAGACGCGAAAGCGUGGGGAGCAAACAGG
rnacentral:rRNA from 1 species